rnacentral:sRNA from 1 species
AGAUCUAAACGGGACGGACGGACAGACAUUUCACACAAAACGAAUUUGUUCUAAUUGAAACUUUUCAGCUAUUCCUUUGUCUGCUGAUGCUAUUCUGGAAAAAAUGAGCUCAGAUAUAAAAGAGCAAAGUAAUUCAAACAGUAAAUUACUUCCUACAGACUUCCUAGCGUUGACGUUCUCAGAAAAAUUAGACAACUUAAGGAGAGAAACAAUGAAAUGCGCCAACAGACCGUCUGCAAGAUUUGCUUGGACCAGGAAGUAGCUGUUGUGUUUCUGCCUUGUGGUCACUUGGUGUCCUGCACGGAGUGUGCCACAGCCAUGAAAGAUUGUCCAGUGUGCAGAAUGAAUAUAAAAGGAAUCGUUCGAGCUUUUAUUUCGUAAAAUGUUAUUAAUAACUUUAAACUUAAACUAAGACCAAAAAAAACGCCUAUUGACGUAUUAGCUUUAUCUCCAAAGACUGCGACAUCAGUUCAACACAAAUUAAAUAGAUUACAAAUUGGUGAUUAGAAACGAAGCAAUUAUUACUUUAUUAUCGCAAUUAAAAGUAUUGUUUCUCAUCCACAUAGAUAGUGCCACAGUGGUAUAGAUUAGUUUGAAUAUUUUUAGUCGACUGAUCAUUUCACUAGUAUUACAAACAUCAAGCAAACGAAUGAAAACGCUAAAUAAAAAUUAAAAUGUUCUCUUUAGACAGGUGGAUUCAAUAUUAUUCUGUUCAA